AUACUUACCUGGACGGGGUCGACAGCCGAUCAUGAAGGGCUGUGGCCUAGGCUAGUGGGUCACAUUGCACUUAGUGGAUGCGCUGGCUUACCAUCUCCCCAAACGGGAGAGUGGACGUCAUAAUUUAUGGUAGAAGGGAUACGCGUUCGCGUGGCCCCUGC
rfam:Triticum aestivum genome assembly, contig: Triticum_aestivum_CS42_TGACv1_scaffold_502235_6BL